rnacentral:lncRNA from 1 species
CUUGAAUUCUGUCCCUCCAAGGAGAGGGCAAUGCCUGAGCCCACGGAAGUUGGGUCAGGGGCAGCAUUGGAAGUCAGAGCCUGCAAUGCUCACGUAAAUGCAAAAGAUGGUUCCUUCAGUGCCAGUAAGAAGGCUGUCUUGAACAUGAGGAAUACAGCAGCAAGCAAGACAGAGAGGUGCCUGCUUUCUGGGGAGACAACAAACAGAUAAAUAAGCACAACACUGUCCUGCCAAGCUAAGUGACAUCAAUGAAACAAGGCAAGGUAAUAAGAAGAGGCUGGGAAAAGGCUUAGCUGUGAUUUUGCUUUCUGCAGUUUGAGUUGCCUAUGUUCAACAGAGGUUCAAAAAUAUUAAAUGGAACAUUUCAGAAAUAAACAAUCCUAAGUUUAAAUUGCAUGCCAUUCUGAGCAGCGUGAUGAUAUCUUGCGCCAUCUCUCCCAGUCCUGCCCCGGAGAUGAAUCAUCCCUUUGUCCAGCGUGUCCACACGGUACAUGCUCCAGGCCCGUUAGUUACUUAGUAGCCAUCUCAGUUUUUCGGAUGACGUCGAGGUAUGGCAGGGUUUGUGUUCAAAGUCACCCUUGUUUUACUUAACAAUAGCUUCAAAGCACAAGCAUAGUGAUGCUGGCAAUUUGGAUAUGCCAAAGAGAAGCUACAAGGUGCUUUAAGGGGAAAAGUGAAAGUUGUGGACUUAAUCAGCAACCUUAGCUGAGGUUGCUAAGAUCUGUGAUAACAAGGAAGCUUUGAUUCAUGAAAUUCUGGAGAUGGAAAAAAGAAAUAUAUGCUAGUUUUGCUGUCACACCUCGGACUGCAAAGUAAUGGCCAUGGUGCAUGAUAAGAGCUUAGUUAAGAUGGAAAAGGCAUUAACUCUGUGGAUAAAAACAUGAAGAGACAUGUGUUCUGAUUGAUGGCAAUAAGGAUCAGUAUUAUCCGUGGUCCCAGGCAUGCACUGGAGGUGUUGGAAUGUAUCCCCCAUGGAUAAGGGGAGACUAUCGUAUCCUUGAUUGGGGCAUUGCUACAUGGAUGUAUACGUUUGGCCAAACUCUCCAAACUGAACACUUAAGAUAGGUACCUUGGAGUUGACAGCCAUGUGCUCAGAGGAGAAUGAAGCAAACCAACCAAAAGCCAACCCCAAACACCCAAUGGCCUGAGCUCCUCAGAGCAAGAAAAGUCAAGUUGAAUAUCUCAGAUGGGGCCGUCAGAGAAUGGAGAUGACCUCAUCCACAGUGGGACAAGUUGGAGCAAAUCACUUGGAUGGAAAGCAAGGAAAUAGAGGGGCAAUUUCAGCAUGUCCCUCAGGCUUCCACAGAGGAAGGUUUGGCCUUCCAAAUUCCCAAAGGGCUUCUCUCCUGGGACGCACUGUCUCUGCAGAGGUGAAAACACUCUUUCUUGUCUCUCUCUGCCUGGGAUCUUAAUUGUUUCCAGUGUCAAAUGAAGGACUGAGGAAAGAACCAAAGCUUCCCCAGUUCACUAACUGCUCUGGGAUUUACCCAGAAUUUUGACAGCAUUGAGAUUUGGAGUUGGCUUAGAAGAAGAGAAGAAGGGAAGUGGAGGUGCUGAGAGCUGGUCUGGAGUUAGCCCUGCUUCAGCCACAUUCACUUCCCUUUGUCUCUCAUGACCGGGCAAUGCAGUAGGCUUCCCAUGUUGUGUAUCUUCUUGUCUAUUAAACAGGGUUAUCCAGCUGAUUGAGGGCAUUUCUUUUUUUUUUUUUUUUUUCCAACCUCACUUUUUCCAAACUAGUUUAGAUCUUCCAGAGUGUGGUAGGCUGAAAAAUG